rnacentral:lncRNA from 1 species
GCAUCACUUGUCCAAUGAUUGGAAAUAAUCUCAAAUAUAUAAAACAAACAACGAAGAUAUUACUUUCAAAAAACACCAAGAUAUAUAUAUCUCAUUUCAUACGCAAAUGAUUGAAAUAGAGUAAAUUCAAAUUUAUAAAAACAACCAUGAUCUUCAGAGUUUUGCCAAUUCUUCGCCAUUUACAAUUCUUCACACUUUUGCGAAUUUUUCGCAACUUAAAAUUCUUCACCUCAUUCU